rnacentral:rRNA from 1 species
GACGAACGCUGGCGGCAUGCCUAACACAUGCAAGUCGAACGGAACCUUCCGGUCUUUUGGCGCACGGGUACUUAACGCGUGGGAACCUGCCCUUAAGUUCGGAAUACCUCCCCGUGAGGGGUCCUAAUACAAGAGAAUGUCUUCGGACCAAAGAUUUAUCGCCUUUGGGUGGGCCCGCGUUCGAUUAGCUAGUUGGUAGUGUAAAAGCCUACCAAGGCGAGGAUCCAUAGCUGGUCUGAUAGGAUGAUCUGCCACGCUGGGACUGAGACACGGCCCAGUCCCCUACGCAGGGCAGCAGUGGGGAAUAUAGGACACUGAGGCCAAGCGUGAUCAAGCAACGCGGGGGAAGAGAUGAAGGCCUUAGGGUUGUAAAGCUCUCUUACCCGGGAUGAUAAUGACAGUACCGGGAGAAUAAGCACCGGCUAACUACGUG